AGCACGCCCUGUAACCAGCAGCGAGAUCGACUUCCAAGCAGUUCGGGCCAGAUGAUCCAUCCGGGCGGGAACACACUUUCUCACAAACAGCAGAGGAGCAUAACACAAAAGCAGCAGCAGCGCAACAGCCAGAUUGACAGGAGCGGGGAAGACGACGUGGGCCGUUUCAGGUGUAGCCAACCAGGCGUGGGGUGCUGGGGAAGGUCUUGCGCAUCCCCAUGCACUUCUCCUUGUCAAUGAAGAGGGAGUUGGCCUUCACCAGGAGGUCAUGCUCCAGCCUCGCCUUGUUGAGGAUCAGCAGCUGAAGAGUGUCUUGGGCUUCGCGCAAGCGGAGCUUCAGAGUCUGCAGUGUGUCGUCGAUGGUGAAAACUUCAUUGACCAGCCUGAAUGGAAAGGUGGAAACCAGUUACCCCUUUUGGAACGCCAACUCCAUCUAGUAUUAUUAUUUUUUAUUGAAAUAAUCUUUCAUCCAAGAAGUCUUUCAAAGUGGCUUAGCGAAUCCAUGAAAAAUAAUACAAAUAGAUUCAAGAACAAUGAAAAAGGAGCAGAAAACUCGGCACAAAAGCGCAACAGUAACAAUAGAGCUGUAGCUCAGUGGUAGAGCAUCUGCUCUGCAUGCAGAAAGCCUCAUCUUCAACCCUAGUGCUCCUCCAGGUAGUACCAGGGCUGGAAAGGAUGCCUGCCUGAAACCUUGGAGAGCCAUAAACUAGUAACUGAAAGCCAAACAAUAUGUUACAUUAAAUGCCUCAUUUGCCACCCACCCCUUUAAAAAAAAAAGGUUAAACAGCAGAUGCAGGUGGCUGAUCAGGAUUGGGACCUGUGCUGCACAGGAGGGAUAUUUAAUCCUUUUCUAUUUUAUGAUUCUGUUUUUUGUGUGGGUUUUUCGCUCCUUUCAUUUGUUGUUUUGUUAUUAAUCAUACUAAUUUUUUUAUUUUGUAAACCACCUUGAGAAAAUUAUAUUUUUAAAGGUCAA